rnacentral:rRNA from 2 species
ACCUCAGAUCAGGUAGGGAUACCCGCUGAACUUAAGCAUAUCAAUAAGCGGAGGA